AGCAGCCGCGGUAAUUCCAGCUCCAAUAGCGUAUAUUAAAGUUGUUGCAGUUAAAAAGCUCGUAGUUGAACUUCGGGGUCUACCCAUUGGUCAGGCUUAAUUGUCUGCACUGGUGGGAUGGAUCUCUACCUUCUGAGGAACUUUCAUGCCAUUUAUUUGGUGUGGUUGGAAAUCAGGACUGUUACUUUGAAAAAAUUAGAGUGUUUAAAGCAGACUAUCGUCUGAAUACAUUAGCAUGGAAUAAUGAAAUAGGACGGACUGAUUCUAUUUCGUUGGUUUCUAGGAUCACCGUAAUGAUUAAUAGGGAUAGUUGGGGGCAUUAGUAUUCAAUUGUCAGAGGUGAAAUUCUUGGAUUUAUUGAAGACUAACUACUGCGAAAGCAUUUGCCAAGGAUGUUUUCAUUAAUCAAGAACGAAAGUUAGGGGAUCGAAGACGAUCAGAUACCGUCGUAGUCUUAACCAUAAACUAUGCCGACUAGGGAUCGGACGAAGUUAAUUUUAUAAUUGACGCGUUCGGCUAA
rnacentral:rRNA from 1 species